AACGAACGCUGGCGGCAUGCCUAACACAUGCAAGUCGAACGAAGCCUUCGGGCUUAGUGGCGCACGGGUGCGUAACGCGUGGGGAUCUGCCCUUUGGUUCGGAAUAACAGUUGGAAACGACUGCUAAUACCGGAUGAUGACGAAAGUCCAAAGAUUUAUCGCCAGAGGAUGAGCCCGCGUAGGAUUAGCUAGUUGGUGUGGUAAAGGCGCACCAAGGCGACGAUCCUUAGCUGGUCUGAGAGGAUGAUCAGCCACACUGGGACUGAGACACGGCCCAGACUCCUACGGGAGGCAGCAGUGGGGAAUAUUGGACAAUGGGCGAAAGCUUGAUCCAGCAAUGCCGCGUGAGUGAUGAAGGCCCUAGGGUUGUAAAGCUCUUUUACCCGGGAUGAUAAUGACAGUACCGGGAGAAUAAGCCCCGGCUAACUCCGUGCCAGCAGCCGCGGUAA
rnacentral:rRNA from 1 species